rfam:Drosophila pseudoobscura pseudoobscura strain MV2-25 chromosome 2, whole genome shotgun sequence.
GUGAGUUUUGUGGAGUUUAAAGUUAACAAUCGCCGACAAUCAAAUUACGCGAAAGCUCUACCCAAACUCAUCCCUC